UACGUAGGGUGCGAGCGUUAAUCGGAAUCACUGGGCGUAAAGCGCACGUAGGCGGCUUUUUAAGUCAGGGGUGAAAUCCUGGAGCUCAACUCCAGAACUGCCUUUGAUACUGAGAAGCUUGAGUCCGGGAGAGGUGAGUGGAACUGCGAGUGUAGAGGUGAAAUUCGUAGAUAUUCGCAAGAACACCAGUGGCGAAGGCGGCUCACUGGCCCGGUACUGACGCUGAGGUGCGAAAGCGUGGGGAGCAAACAGG
rnacentral:rRNA from 1 species